rnacentral:lncRNA from 1 species
GUAAAUCUUAGCUAAGCUACGACACGUUCGUGAUUAAUUAAUUGCUUUUUCUUUUGUUAUGCAUUGUUUUAAUUGGGCACAGAGGUGAAAAUAUGUGAUUUUGACUAACAUUUUUAAUCGGCCUCGUACAUGCUUAUUUUUUCUCCUCUUGGCAUGAAAAGCAUGUCAUUCAAUAGCUAAAAGUCUGAUCUUUCCGAAUAUGAAAACCAAUUGUUCAUAUGCCGAGUAAUUCACAUAUAAUAGCGUGCUGAAGUUCAAUUACCUUUUUUUUAUACACCCUGUAUAUCAAGAUUUUGUUGCCAUCUCAACCAAGUGUCUGGUUACUUUGGUAGAUGGAAAUUAUCAAGUGGAAAUUUACAUACAGAGUGAAAUAAUAAAGUAGGCAGGGUCGCAGCUAGAAGACCGUGACCAGAACUGGAAAAACACAGGAAGAUAAAAAGAAUGUGGCUUGAUUAUUUGUGUAAAACUGUGUAGGUUCAUAAAAUACAAUGUAGUGCUACUUACAACAGUCAGAAUAUGCUUCUAUUUAUUUCUUUAAAAAAAAACAGUGUAAAAUCUAGUUUGCAGGAGGUUAAUUCUGUGAUGUCUUUGUGUCAGGUGCAUGCAUGUCUAUAGUUUUUGCCCAACAUUAUAAUAUAAGUGAUUAAGUCCUUUUAAUGUCAGAAUGACAUAGAUGUGUGUGCAUAUGUUGGCCUUGUAUUUGGUUGUAUCUCAUAGAACCACAGACAUAGUCUAUUGUUGGCAAGCAUUACUGAAACCGUGCAUUGGGGUAUUCAGGGUAAGUCUGCCUUGUGACGUACUAGUUUGCGGCUAAAGAAAAACCCUGCACAAAUUUGCCUGAUUGGCCAAAUGGUCGUAUUUAUCUGCAAACUAUGUCAAAAGGCAGACUUCUUAAAAAGGUCUAUUGGCUAGUACACACUCUGAAAUUUACAAGGCAGCACUCCCAAAAUCUCAAAUCCAAGCCAAGACCCUGAAAUUAGGGUCAAACACAUUUAAUAAAUUAAAGUGAAUUAACCCAUUAAGCGCCAGCGCUCUCCCCUUGACGAGUAAAAUCGUCUGGCGUUAGAGAAAAUACUAAAGUAGGGUGCAUCAGGGUGCAAUGCGACUCAAUGGGUUAACUAGACACAUGGGCAGAUAGGCCAGUUAACCCAUUAAGUGCCAGCACUCUCCCCUUGACGAGUAAAAUAGUCUGGCGUUAGAGUAAAAUACUAAAGUAGGGUGCAUCAGGGUGCAAUGCGACUCAAUGGGUUAAACAAUAUUAUGAUGUAAGCUAGGUUGUUUAGAUAAUUAUCUCAGUGUGUAUUUCUAAUUACUGAUAAUAUCAUGUAUGUGUGAUUAGUGUAUUGAAUGAGACAAAUGAAUGUGAUCAGUUCAUAAUUUAUUCUUUAAAUAAAAGCAAUAUUAAAUUAAAAUAAAAGUAAUAAACAGCUUAUACAUCCAGAUUUGGAACUUAUAGAGUAUCAUAGAAGUUGUUGAACCUCAGUAGCAUAGAAGAUGGAAUGCCGGAUUUGACUGUAAUGAUAGUUUGUAUUUUAAUUCAAUACAACUUGUGUUGUAUAUACCAUAAUCUUAAUAAAUAGUACAAAA